rnacentral:rRNA from 1 species
UACAGAGGUCCCGAGCGUUGUUCGGAUUCACUGGGCGUAAAGGGUGCGUAGGUGGUGAGGUAAGUCGGAUGUGAAAGCUCGGAGCUCAACUCCGAAAUGGCAUUGGAAACUACCUUGCUUGAGGGUUGGAGGGGGGACUGGAAUUCUCGGUGUAGCAGUGAAAUGCGUAGAGAUCGAGAGGAACACCAGUGGCGAAGGCGAGUCCCUGGACAACACCUGACGCUGAGGCACGAAAGCUAGGGGAGCAAACAGG